UUCCACACCUCUGAGAGCAGUGAGCCCUCGGGAAGGAGGGAGGAUUUUCUUCCCUAAAUUCAAAGCCGCAGAGAUGGUGCAGACACACAGCAGCUUCACGGGCAACUGAUGGAUCUCUGGAACAUUGGAGGAUCUGGUUCUCUACGGCCGAAGCAGGAGAUCAACAGAUCUGAGCUGACGGCAAAGUCUUCACUGGAUCCUUUGGUGGAAUACAGGAAUCAGAUAUCAGAUGGAGGUCACCAGUAACUGAUGGACCCUCUCAGAAUCUCUGGAACAUCGGAGUAUCUGGUUCUCUACGGCCGAAGCAGGAGAUCAACAGAUCUAAGCUGAUGGCAAAGUCUUCACUGGAUCCUUUGGUGGAAUACAGGAAUCAGAUAUCAGCAGCUGAGCAAUGGUUCUUCAGAGGACUUGGAGGUUCUGGACACCGACAGCUCCGAAGGGACAAGCGGAUUGGGCCCUAUCUGGUUUUGCCCAUACCCAAAACCAGAUGCUCAACAGAAUGCUGAAACAGAGGGGGAUGCUUAUUCUAUAGGCCUAUACUAUCUAAAAUUGAGGGAGAAAUUUGGUAUUAAACCUGUGUGAGUUCAUAACCAUAAAGCGGUGAUGUAUGCAACUGUGCGAGCAGCUGUGCACGGAAUCAUCAAGCACUGCCUGAGAGAGAAACAAAAUGAGGAUUGCCCUGGGUGCACCACAGAUGCCCCCGGUCAGAGGCAUCAUGACUGCAGGUACUGGUCUUUAGAUGAUGUGAACUGUAAAAUUAAAGAAAUUAGCGGGUAGUUUGUAUAUGGAGCGUGUGUUAAAUAAAAUUAUCCUGUUGGGAUACGUGCUGCAGUGCCUGUGUUUAACCCAGGAACAUUUAGCUCUAGGGGCAAAAUUGGUGGACAAAGUGACAGAGGCCGAGGAUCCAAAUAGCAUUUUUGAUUAAAUGAUCAAACUGACAGAUAACUGUUUAAUGCUAAAUGUUGAGCCUCUUCCUCCUUCAGCAAAUUACAAAAUCUUGCUAAGAAAAAACACUAAAAGUUGAGCAUGUUUUGGGAACAAAACACAUGUUGUAAAGCAAAAUAAAAAGGCAUGUUUUAAAUAAA